rnacentral:rRNA from 1 species
UCCGUAGGUGAACCUGCGGAGGGAUCAUUACCGAGUUUACAACUCCCAAACCCCUGUGAACAUACCUUAAUGUUGCCUCGGCGGAUCAGCCCGCGCCCCGUAAAACGGGACGGCCCGCCAGAGGACCCAAACUCUAAUGUUUCUUAUUGUAACUUCUGAGUAAAACAAACAAAUAAAUCAAAACUUUCAACAACGGAUCUCUUGGUUCUGGCAUCGAUGAAGAACGCAGCAAAAUGCGAUAAGUAAUGUGAAUUGCAGAAUUCAGUGAAUCAUCGAAUCUUUGAACGCACAUUGCGCCCGCUGGUAUUCCGGCGGGCAUGCCUGUUCGAGCGUCAUUUCAACCCUCAAGCCCCCGGGUUUGGUGUUGGGGAUCGGCUCUGCCUUCUGGCGGUGCCGCCCCCGAAAUACAUUGGCGGUCUCGCUGCAGCCUCCAUUGCGUAGUAGCUAACACCUCGCAACUGGAACGCGGCGCGGCCAUGCCGUAAAACCCCAACUUCUGAAUGUUGACCUCGGAUCAGGUAGGAAUACCCGCUGAACUUAAGCAUAUCAAUAAGCGGAGGA